AUGACCCUACGGGACGCAGCAGUAGGGAAUCUUCCACAAUGGGCGAAAGCCUGAUGGAGCAACGCCGCGUGGGUGAAGAAGGUCUUCGGAUCGUAAAACCCUGUUGUUAGAGAAGAAAGUGCGUGAGAGUAACUGUUCACGUUUCGACGGUAUCUAACCAGAAAGCCACGGCUAACUACGUGCCAGCAGCCGCGGUAAUACGUAGGUGGCAAGCGUUAUCCGGAUUUAUUGGGCGUAAAGGGAACGCAGGCGGUCUUUUCAGUCUGAUGAGAAAGCC
rnacentral:rRNA from 1 species